GCUGGGCACGGUGGCUCAUGCCUGUAAUCCCAACACUGGGAGGCUGAGACAGGUGGAUCACCUGAGGUCAGGAGUUCAAGGCCAGUCUGGCCAACAUGGUGAAACCCUGUCUCUA
ensembl:misc_RNA Metazoa_SRP Metazoan signal recognition particle RNA